rnacentral:misc_RNA from 1 species
CAUCGUACUGGAAAAUAAGAGAAGAGAGACAGGCUGCAUUUCUCUCAGCGCCUCCUUCCCUAACCUUCACCUGCCACUAAGUUCUGCGUUUCGUCCUCUCUCGCUCUCGUCGGGAUCUCUGAAAAGGUGAGGGGCGAAUCAAGCCACCACUUUCUCCCUCCCUCUAGAGAGUACGCAGUCAUUCAUAUUCUGUGCCGGCUACACCACAUCUCCCCUCCCUCUCAGCCCUCGCAGCUACGUUGGCUCUCUCUGUUCCACAAAGGCAUCUAGAAACGGGAAAAGGAUGGCAUCGCUGUGGAAGAAAUCGCUGUCUCUGCUGCUGUCAGCAGCACUCAUCAUCGCAGCCUUCGCGGUCGCUCUGAGUGCUGAAGCGCGCCGCCUUGUCGCCGUUGGGGACCUGCACGGCGACUACGAGCAGAGCGUCUCCGUCUUGCGUCUUGCGCGUCUCAUCGACAACCGCAAUCACUGGAUCGGUGAGGAUGCGCUCCUGGUCCAGCUGGGUGACAUUCUUGAUGUCGGCCCCGACGAUAUUCUCAUUGUGCGCCUGCUGAUGAGGCUGCAGCAGGAGGCCCACGCCAAAGGGGGCGAUGUAAUUGGGUUGUUGGGCAACCACGAGCUGCGCAACUUCCGAGGGGACUACAAGGCGGUGGACAAGGCGAGCCUUGCCGCUAGUGGUGGACAGAAAGGCCGUGACGUGCUUCUGUCCAACGCGACAGACCUUGGCAGAUACCUGCGAACUCGCAAGGCAAUCUUUCACUACGGCCCGUUUCUCUUCAUGCACGGAGGCUUCUCCACGGCGACGGCCGGCAUGAUCACGAGCCUCAGCAAGGUCGAGGAGUUCAAUUCGGAGCUCACCAAGGCGCUGAUGAACGGCACCAUCUCACCUCUGGCGCGAGGCGGACUGGACCUGACUGAGGACGAUGUGGACGACGUCGCCAACCCUAUUCUCGUACGCAGCAUCUUGAAUGUCAAGUGCAACGCACUGAGCAAGGUGCUCGACAAGAAGUUCCCGGGCAUCCAGUCUGUCGUCGUGGGCCACGUCCCACAUGACCCACGCGACUUCGACGGCUGGCGGCUUUGCGGGGGCCGGAUCAUCGACAUCGACUUCGGCAUGUCGCGCUGGAAGAAGGGAGACCCAGGGCACGUGGCGGCGCUGGAGAUCGAGGAAGCCACGUGGCAUGUGCAGCUUAUCGAGACGUCCACCGCAUCCAGCUCGGUCUCGGGUACGCACGCACCCUUCCAGGAUUCCGUGGCGACCUAUUACCUAGUAAGUUUCACCGCGCUCAUUGUGGUGUGCGUUGUCAGCGUCUUGCUUGCGGCGUACUAUUUGCCGUUGUGCUCCGGUGCGGCACGGGAGCCGCUACUGAAAGCGGGCACGAAUUAUUACGGCACGGUGUAGCAGGGCUCGUUUCGCGCACUCGUCCAAAGAUCACUGUGAGUGUACCGGUGGGGUAAAGUCCUCCCUUUCUCCCUUUCUUCCACCGCGCUGUGCACCCAAUCUAGCUCUUCCUCUGUUCCUUCUCCGUUGACGGUGUGUACCCCUCUACUUAUACUUACGCGGGGGCGUUGAAGAGUAACAUGGCGGCGGCAGCGGCUUGUGUCGGCGGGAAAGAGAGAUAGGGCGCUGCACAUGAAUGCCCUCCGUGGCGGCUCUUUUCGGCGUUGAUGUGCCGCUCUCUUUUUGUCCCUUGGCAUGUUUUGUUGUCGCUAUCGGCACAUGGCUCGCUCGUUUUUCUUUUUUUCUUUGUACAACGCGCGUUACGCUGUUGCUCCUCGUCUCUUGUGCGUUUCUUUCAAACUUCGAUCUUCCUCUCUUUUUCUGCGGCAGAGAUGCUAACAUAGGUGCGUCGUGGCGAUACGCGUGUGCGUGUGCUUGAGCACCUUAUCUCCUUACAUAUUUUCUGGAUUCGUGUUCCACAGUGGCAACGACGCUGACAGCGACUGAGGGAGCCCUUGUCUCUCACUGCGUUUGGUUGCUUCCUUACCACGUACUCGCCGACCCUCCCUCCCCUCUACUUGGCAGGAGUCUACCAAUGCGCGUAGGAGGGGAGGGGGAGGCGGCGGCGGCGACGG